CUUCAUUCCCCAUAAAAGAAGGCUUAUUAGGCAUCUGCUGAUCAAGAUAUAGGAAAAGGCUUGUGGUGGUGGUGGUGGAGAACUCUGUGAGUUAAAAGACUGAAGAAUGCCGGUGUGCUUCUGCUGUGUGAUUCCCAGAAUCUGCAGACCUUAUACAAAUUCUUGGCCGGAAGCAACCCUCAGUCCCUGAAGGAAAAUUAGCUCUGAGCUAACAUCUGCUGCCCAUCCUGCUCUUUUUGUUGAGGAAGAUUGGCCCCGAGCUCACAUCCAUGCCCAUCUUCCUUUACUUUAUAUGUGGGACACCUGCCACAGCAUAGCUUGCAAAGUAGUGCACAGGUCCACACCCGGGAUCCAAACUGGCGAACCCUGGGCCACCAAAGAGGAACGUGCGAACUUAACCGCAGAGGCACCAGGCCGGCCCCUAUGACUGAUUUUUUUUUUAAACUAAAUCAGCUUUUAUACAUUUCUUAAAUUUUCCUUCAAAGUAUAAGGCAUGUAGGAAAAUCACUUGAACUACUCUGCUGUUGUCACCUUUAACCCUGUUUUGAUCCCAAAUUGUAUUUUGAAGUUGGGCCGUCUUCCCAUAUUCACCUGAGCAAAUUCAAUGUUAUUUUGUGGUGUUACAGAAAUUCAGAUUUACAUGCAGAAACUUUACUCAGAAACUAUCCAAAUAAGAGUCCCAGAAACGUUAGGGUUGUUAUUCAAAAGAACGUCAAAAUUCUGUGGAAAACGGAAGUAUUUAAGGCUAAAAUAAUCCACUGGUGAGAGUGGGAUGGGACAGAUGAAACAAGAUUGGUUAUAAUGCUGAUAAUCGUUGAAGCUAGGUCAUGAGUAUAUGGCGGUUCAUUAUACUUCUUUCCACUUUUGUCUAACUUUUACAUUUUCCCUUACUAAAUGUUAAAAAUAAAUUUUUUAAAAAAUCACAAGAACCAAAAGACUCUGUCAACUUCCUCGCAACUUUGGAGCAUUAGCCAGGAAGAAUAGAACUAAAUUUGAGCUGGUCCUGUAUCUAACUUGGCCACUUGAUAGUUGACCACUUUUACACUAAAUUUUUGUAUUGUUCUUAAAAUUUUCUGAGAGCAUUUUGAAUAUUAAGGGUACUAACAUUUGAGGUGUAUGCUACAAAUUUGUUUCUCAAUUUAUAAUUAUUUUUAUUUUAUCAAUGGAGCUUUGACAUGCAGAAAAUUUUAAUAUCUAUAACAUCAAAUAUGUCAUCUUUUUCAUUAUGACUUCUGAGGUCUUUUUUUUUAAUUAAGAAGCUUUUUCCUACUCCAAGCUUAUACAAA
rnacentral:lncRNA from 1 species